UGGGCGUUAAGUUGCAGGGUAUAGACCCGAAACCCGGUGAUCUAGCCAUGGGCAGGUUGAAGGUUGGGUAACACUAACUGGAGGACCGAACCGACUAAUGUUGAAAAAUUAGCGGAUGACCUGUGGCUGGGGGUGAAAGGCCAAUCAAACCGGGAGAUAGCUGGUUCUCCCCGAAAGCUAUUUAGGUAGCGCCUCGUGAAUUCAUCUCCGGGGGUAGAGCACUGUUUCGGCUAGGGGGCCAUCCCGGCUUACCAACCCGAUGCAAACUGCGAAUACCGGAGAAUGUUAUCACGGGAGACACACGGCGGGUGCUAACGUCCGUCGUGAAGAGGGAAACAACCCAGACCGCCAGCUAAGGUCCCAAAGUCAUGGUUAAGUGGGAAACGAUGUGGGAAGGCCCAGACAGCCAGGAUGUUGGCUUAGAAGCAGCCAUCAUUUAAAGAAAGCGUAAUAGCUCACUGGUCGAGUCGGCCUGCGCGGAAGAUGUAACGGGGCUAAACCAUGCACCGAAGCUGCGGCAGCGACACUGUGUGUUGUUGGGUAGGGGAGCGUUCUGUAAGCCUGUGAAGGUGUGUCGUGAGGCAUGCUGGAGGUAUCAGAAGUGCGAAUGCUGACAUAAGUAACGAUAAAGCGGGUGAAAAGCCCGCUCGCCGGAAGACCAAGGGUUCCUGUCCAACGUUAAUCGGGGCAGGGUGAGUCGACCCCUAAGGCGAGGCCGAAAGGCGUAGUCGAUGGGAAACGGGUUAAUAUUCCCGUACUUGGUGUUACUGCGAAGGGGGGACGGAGAAGGCUAUGUUGGCCGGGCGACGGUUGUCCCGGUUUAAGCGUGUAGGUGUGUGUUCCAGGUAAAUCCGGUUCACUUUAACACUGAGGCGUGACGACGAGGCACUACGGUGCUGAAGCAACAAAUGCCCUGCUUCCAGGAAAAGCCUCUAAGCAUCAGGUAACAUCAAAUCGUACCCCAAACCGACACAGGUGGUCAGGUAGAGAAUACCAAGGCGCUUGAGAGAACUCGGGUGAAGGAACUAGGCAAAAUGGUGCCGUAACUUCGGGAGAAGGCACGCUGACACGUAGGUGAAGUGAUUUACUCAUGGAGCUGAAGUCAGUCGAAGAUACCAGCUGGCUGCAACUGUUUAUUAAAAACACAGCACUGUGCAAACACGAAAGUGGACGUAUACGGUGUGACGCCUGCCCGGUGCCGGAAGGUUAAUUGAUGGGGUCAGCGCAAGCGAAGCUCCUGAUCGAAGCCCCGGUAAACGGCGGCCGUAACUAUAACGGUCCUAAGGUAGCGAAAUUCCUUGUCGGGUAAGUUCCGACCUGCACGAAUGGCGUAAUGAUGGCCAGGCUGUCUCCACCCGAGACUCAGUGAAAUUGAACUCGCUGUGAAGAUGCAGUGUACCCGCGGCAAGACGGAAAGACCCCGUGAACCUUUACUAUAGCUUGACACUGAACAUUGAGCCUUGAUGUGUAGGAUAGGUGGGAGGCUUUGAAGUGUGGACGCCAGUCUGCAUGGAGCCGACCUUGAAAUACCACCCUUUAAUGUUUGAUGUUCUAACGUGGACCCGUUACCCGGGUUGCGGACAGUGUCUGGUGGGUAGUUUGACUGGGGCGGUCUCCUCCUAAAGAGUAACGGAGGAGCACGAAGGUUGGCUAAUCCUGGUCGGACAUCAGGAGGUUAGUGCAAUGGCAUAAGCCAGCUUGACUGCGAGCGUGACGGCGCGAGCAGGUGCGAAAGCAGGUCAUAGUGAUCCGGUGGUUCUGAAUGGAAGGGCCAUCGCUCAACGGAUAAAAGGUACUCCGGGGAUAACAGGCUGAUACCGCCCAAGAGUUCAUAUCGACGGCGGUGUUUGGCACCUCGAUGUCGGCUCAUCACAUCCUGGGGCUGAAGUAGGUCCCAAGGGUAUGGCUGUUCGCCAUUUAAAGUGGUACGCGAGCUGGGUUUAGAACGUCGUGAGACAGUUCGGUCCCUAUCUGCCGUGGGCGCUGGAGAACUGAGGGGGGCUGCUCCUAGUACGAGAGGACCGGAGUGGACGCAUCACUGGUGUUCGGGUUGUCAUGCCAAUGGCACUGCCCGGUAGCUAAAUGCGGAAGAGAUAAGUGCUGAAAGCAUCUAAGCACGAAACUUGCCCCGAGAUGAGUUCUCCCUGAGACUUAAAGUCUCCUGAAGGAACGUUGAAGACGACGACGUUGAUAGGCCGGGUGUGUAAGCGCAGCGAUGCGUUGAGCUAACCGGUACUAAUGAACCGUGAGGCUUAACCUUACAACGCCGAAG
rnacentral:rRNA from 2 species